rnacentral:rRNA from 1 species
UACGAAGGGGGCUAGCGUUGCUCGGAAUCACUGGGCGUAAAGCGCACGUAGGCGGUUCGUCGCGUCGGCUGUGAAAACCCGGAGCUCAACUCCGGGCCUGCAGUCGAUACGGGCGGACUUGAGUGUUGCAGGGGAGACUGGAAUUCCUGGUGUAGCGGUGAAAUGCGCAGAUAUCAGGAGGAACACCGGUGGCGAAGGCGGGUCUCUGGGCGACUACUGACGCUGAGGAGCGAAAGCGUGGGGAGCGAACAGG